AGGACGAACGCUGGCGGCGUGCCUAAUACAUGCAAGUCGAACGGUCUUUCUAUGGAAGCUUGCUCCACUGAGAAGAUAGUGGCGAACGGGUGAGUAACACGUGGGUAACCUGCCCAUAAGAGGGGGGAUAACAUCCGGAAACGGGUGCUAAUACCGCAUAGUUUUCUUGAUCGCAUGAUCGGGAAAGGAAAGACGGCCUUUGUGCUGUCGCUUAUGGAUGGACCCGCGGCGUAUUAGUUAGUUGGUGAGGUAACGGCUCACCAAGACGAUGAUACGUAGCCGACCUGAGAGGGUGAUCGGCCACAUUGGGACUGAGACACGGCCCAAACUCCUACGGGAGGCAGCAGUAGGGAAUCUUCCGCAAUGGACGAAAGUCUGACGGAGCAACGCCGCGUGAGUGAAGAAAGGUUUUCGGAUCGUAAAACUCUGUUGUCAGAGAAGAACAAGUUGGAGAGUAACUGCUCCAGCCUUGACGGUAUCUGACCAGAAAGCCACGGCUAACUACGUGCCAGCCGCAGC
rnacentral:rRNA from 1 species